AACCUGGAAAUAAUGAAUUCGCUGCCAAAGUCCACACGACAAUUUCUUUCACACACUUUAUCAUGAGUAAAAUGUAUCAGUGUGCUGAAAUCUGCUUGCCAAGAAAGAAAAAAGUCCGCGAGUCUUUCCACUCAAAUACAUACAGGAUAUUUGAUGAAAAGAUACCUGACAGAUUGGACCCUGAUAAAGUCUAUAAAGUCCAUUCAUAUGCUCAGAGAGAUCCCAAGGAAUAUGAUCAGCUUAAAAUACACAAUACCCCACAAAUGUACAAUGCCAAGUUCAUAAGAACCAAUGUCAGGUUCAUGAAUGCACCCAUUUCUCACAUGGAGACAGAGAAUACAAUGGCUGAGCAGACUUAUAACAGUGUCACUGGUGGCCCAAUACAUCGUAUCACGAUGUGAGCACCCAGGCACCUUACAGAAAGGACAGCACUCAGAGACAAGACUACCAGGCCAUUCAACAAACACACGCCCUGGUCAGACAUGGGAGGAACAACAACAGAGUGCCUGCUUCAGGAAUCGUUCCCAUGCUGAGCUCUAUUGGUAGCCCAAAGGUGUUGCUCGAGCACAUGUCUUUUAUUCACCAAUAUGAUUCAAGGAAAUUACAGGACCAACCAUACCAAGGAAGGCGACAUGGAGCUUUAGUGUGGAGCGAGGCUGGGCCAUGGUCUCCUGUCGGGGAGAGCACAUACCUCAACUCCGAGGGGUCAUGUUUGCCAGCGUUGCAGGGAGGAAGAGGGGGGAAAGAGGUAACCUCUCCCCAGCAGCAAGUUUUCAAUGACGGCAGGAUCCACUCCGGAAAGGCGGGCCCCAGCGCUAAAGGCACCAAGGCCAUCGCCUGCCACUCACCGACCCAUCCCUCCAGCCAGCUGUUUCACAGCUUCUAUACUCCCAUGACACAUAGGGGAGGGGUUGAGGGAGGGUUUGAGGGGAUCUCCUCAGUCUCUGACAGGGCUGCGGAGGGUCGGAGAGCUAUGCAUGCGGACGGCGAGGGGACUGUCUUGCAAAGGCAGGGAUCCAACAGUCAACAGGUGGAGAUUCAAGCCCCAGCCCAAAUUGCAGGCUCAGAGCCUAACAACUGAUGGCACUGAUGGCAUUUUAACACUUUAGGGGCUGCCUUAUGUAAAGAUCUGAGUAGAAAUCGGUUGCAAUUGUGUUACAUUUUUGGUCAAAAGUAAGAUAAAGAUUAAAAUAAUAAAAGGUUCAACCUGCAAAAGUAACUGCUGUUAAAUGGUAUUUUCAAUUAAAGAAAAAUACUGUAUAUGGUAUGUACAACUGUACAACCCAAUUCUAACCCCAAAUCAGGAGCCCUAAGCAAGAUUUGGUUGGGUCCCCCCUCCCCACCUUGCAGCAAAACAUUUUUUGUUGCU